rnacentral:lncRNA from 1 species
AAUCAACAUUUCAUUUAUUCAACAUUGUUUAUUUUUCUUUUCUUUGCAGAAACUUUGCUGAAGGUAAAAGGUCAUACUUACUCUCAAGAUAAAGCUGUACUGGAUGAGGAUGAUGACGCCUUAGUCAAUGUUAACUUAGUCGAUGAAGAGAGAUACCAGAAGAAUAUAUUCAACAAAAAAACAGAACCCCAUCAAUUUGGCUACAACGCUAUGAUGAUGGAGAGGAAGACGUUGAGAUGUCUGAAAAUCAGGUUCUCUCAAAAUAUGAUGAGGAAAUCGGAGGAGAGAAAAAGAAAAGUUUUGUUAUUGGUGAUGAAACUAAACUUGAGCGCAAGAAGAUGCAAGUAA